rnacentral:rRNA from 1 species
UGGGGAAUUUUGGACAAUGGGCGAAAGCCUGAUCCAGCAAUGCCGCGUGUGUGAAGAAGGCCUUCGGGUUGUAAAGCACUUUUGUCCGGAAAGAAAUCCUUGGCUCUAAUACAGUCGGGGGAUGACGGUACCGGAAGAAUAAGCACCGGCUAACUACGUGCCAGCAGCCGCGGUAAUACGUAGGGUGCAAGCGUUAAUCGGAAUUACUGGGCGUAAAGCGUGCGCAGGCGGUUUGCUAAGACCGAUGUGAAAUCCCCGGGCUCAACCUGGGAACUGCAUUGGUGACUGGCAGGCUAGAGUAUGGCAGAGGGGGGUAGAAUUCCACGUGUAGCAGUGAAAUGCGUAGAGAUGUGGAGGAAUACCGAUGGCGAAGGCAGCCCCCUGGGCCAAUACUGACGCUCAUGCACGAAAGCGUGGGGAGCAAACAGGAUUAGAUACCCUGGUAGUCCACGCCCUAAACGAUGUCAACUAGUUGUUGGGGAUUCAUUUCCUUAGUAACGUAGCUAACGCGUGAAGUUGACCGCCUGGGGAGUACAGUCGCAAGAUUAAAACUUAAAGGAAUUGACGGGGUCAUAGCUGUUUCCU